CGGGACCGGGAGCGGCGGGAGCUGCGGCUGGGGGCGGCGGCGGCGGCGGCGGCGGCGGCGGCGCGCUGGAGGCGGC
rnacentral:miRNA from 14 species